CUAAAUUGUUCUUCAACUUCUUUUAAUAACUUCAAUUCUUACUAAUUUGAUGAAUUCUGGUAUUAUAUCUUGAUGUAAAUGAGAGCUAGCAUGAAGUUAAUUUCGAACGGAGGAGAGAAAGAAAAAUAAGGAAGCUGAUGUCUGAUCAAAGCUUAAGCACUCAAGACUUCCUAUGCAUAGCUCAUCUAAGUUUGCUGGCUUAUGUAAACUGUAGAGAGACAACUCCUAAUUGCCGAAAGCUGAUUCAGCUAAUCUCCC
rnacentral:lncRNA from 1 species